AUUGAACGCUGGCGGCAGGCUUAACACAUGCAAGUCGAGCGAGCGGCGGACGGGUGAGUAAUGUCUGGGAAACUGCCUGAUGGAGGGGGAUAACUACUGGAAACGGUAGCUAAUACCGCAUACUAUCAGAUGUGCCCAUAUGGGAUUAGCUAGUAGGUGGGGUAAUGGCUCACCUAGGAGACGAUCCCUAGCUGGUCUGAGAGGAUGACCAGCCACACGGUAACGGAGACACGGUCCAGACUCCUACGGGAGGCAGCAGUGGGGAAUAUUGCACAAUGGGCGGAAGCCUGAUGCAGCCAUGCCGCGUGUGUGAAGAAGGCCUUCGGGUUGUAAAGCACUUUCAGCGAGGAGGCGUUAAUCGCAGAAGAAGCACCGGCUAACUACGUGCCAGCAGCCGCGGUAAUAC
rnacentral:rRNA from 1 species